rnacentral:rRNA from 1 species
GACGAACGCUGGCGGCGUGCCUAAUACAUGCAAGUAGAACGCUGAAGAGAGGAGCUUGCUCUUCUUGGAUGAGUUGCGAACGGGUGAGUAACGCGUAGGUAACCCGCCUUGUUGCGGGGGAUAACUAUUGGAAACGAUAGCUAAUCCCGCAUAACCAUCGAUGACACAUGGCAUUUAUUUGAAAGGCGCAAUUGCGCCACUACAACAUGGACCUGCGGUGUAUUAGCUAGUAGGUGAGGUAAUGGCUCACCUAGGCGACGAUACAUAGCCGACCUGAGAGGGUGGUCAGCCACACUGGGACUGAGACACGGCCCAGACUCCUACGGGAGGCAGCCGUAGGGAAUCUUCGGCAAUGGGGGGAAACCUGACCGAGCAACGCCGCGUGAGGGAAGAAGGUUUUCGGGUCGGAAAGGUCUGUUGUAAGGCAAGAAACGGUGUGAGACUGGAAAGUUCACAGUGUGACGGUAGCUGAUCAAAAAGCAACGGCUAACUACGUG